CCUAGGGCCGCUGCAGUGAGGAAUAUUGCACAAUGGGGGGAACCCUGAUGCAGCAACGCCGCGUGGAGGAUGACGCAUUUCGGUGUGUAAACUCCUUUUAUAUGUCAAGAAAAUGACGGUAGCAUAUGAAUAAGCACCGGCUAACUCCGUGCCAGCAGCCGCGGUAAUACGGAGGGUGCAAGCGUUACUCGGAAUCACUGGGCGUAAAGGACGCGUAGGCGGGUUGGAAAGUCAGGUGUGAAAUCCUACAGCUUAACUGUAGAACUGCACUUGAAACUUCUAAUCUAGAGUAUGGGAGGGGGAGAUGGAAUUAGUGGUGUAGGGGUAAAAUCCGUAGAUAUCACUAGGAAUACCUAAAGCGAAGGCGAUCUCCUGGAACAUUACUGACGCUAAGGCGUGAAAGCGUGGGGAGCAAACAGGAUUAGAUACCCGAGUAGUC
rnacentral:rRNA from 1 species